rnacentral:sRNA from 1 species
UCACAUAUGGUAUAAUUUAAAGCGUAGAAAAGUUUAAGGCGGUGGCUAACUCUUGUAAAAUGGGGUGAUGCCAAUGUUUUUUGUUUGGGCUUUCCCUAGAAAGGAAAACUCAUGAGCAUUUAUGAGGCACUGAUGUUUGCAUUAGCUUUUGCAACUCUUGUUUUAAAAAUCUCGUCAAACAAAAA